GACGAACGCUGGCGGCGUGCUUAACACAUGCAAGUCGAACGGAAAGGCCCCUUCGGGGGUACUCGAGUGGCGAACGGGUGAGUAACACGUGGGUGAUCUGCCCUGCACUUUGGGAUAAGCCUGGGAAACUGGGUCUAAUACCGAAUAGGACCGCAUGCUGCAUGGUGUGUGGUGGAAAGCUUUUGCGGUGUGGGAUGGGCCCGCGGCCUAUCAGCUUGUUGGUGGGGUAAUGGCCUACCAAGGCGACGACGGGUAGCCGGCCUGAGAGGGUGUCCGGCCACACUGGGACUGAGAUACGGCCCAGACUCCUACGGGAGGCAGCAGUGGGGAAUAUUGCACAAUGGGCGCAAGCCUGAUGCAGCGACGCCGCGUGGGGGAUGACGGCCUUCGGGUUGUAAACCUCUUUCAGUAUCGGCGAAGCUCCAAGGUUUUCUUUGGGGUGACGGUAGGUACAGAAGAAGCACCGGCCAACUACGUGC
rnacentral:rRNA from 1 species